UCAAACACUAGUUCUGGUACGAUUACGGAAGUUAAGCAACGUCAAGCCUGGUUAGUACCUAAAUAUGUGACCGCUUGGGAAUACCAGGUGCUGCAAGC